AUGGUCUCAUCUUGAAUUAUUGAGAUAUUGGUAGAUCUUAAAGGUUCUAGGUGACGUUUGGUUUUAUUGGUGCUGUCAUUGUUCGACCCCUAUAACCGGCGAUUGGUUCUAGGUGACGGGUUCGGAAUCAAGAAAAUUCGUCUGAAGAAUCAAGGUAGCAGAGGGAAAAACAGGCAUUCUGUGAUUCAUUGCACACACCCGUGUAAUAGAGAACAGAUGUAUGAGGCAGGGCGCGCCAUUCGAUGUGACCAGAUCAAAAGAACGCUGUAGAAAUGUCAGAUUCUGUCUUGAUUGUAGGUGUGAUAAAAUGUCAACUCAGUGAUAAAAUAAAUUAAUGCAACGUAUGAACCAAACCGGGCAUUUUGGGGAGUGUCCCAGUUCUGGCAGACUUCGACAGACUACAGAUAGAGAAG